UACGUAGGAGACUAGCGUUGUCCGGAAUUACUGGGUGUAAAGCGCGUGUAGGCGGCAUACCAAGUCUGUUGUGAAAUCGCCCGGCUCAACUGGGCGGGGUCAAUGGAAACUGGUAAGCUGGAGGACGGUAGAGGCGAGUGGAAUUCCCGGUGUAGUGGUGAAAUGCGUAGAGAUCGGGAGGAACACCUGUGGCGAAGGCGGCUCGCUGGGCCGAUCCUGACGCUGAGACGCGAAGGCGUGGGGAGCAAACAGG
rnacentral:rRNA from 1 species